GAGGGGCUGCUCAGCGCCCCGCAAACUCACCUCUUUCUAACAUGUGCACCCAGAAGGCGCCGCACCCCAGUUGAUCGCCUUGCCUUUACGCGUGCUCUCCUCUUUCCAGCGAGACGUCCGUUGAGGGAACGGGGAGGGGAAAGACGAACCUGAACCACUUACUUUUUCCUACUUAUGGCCUCAUUUUGUUGCCUUCAUGCGCUGCGUCUUAUCACGAUUGCAUACCCACUACCUUCACACACUCACCUUACACGUCUGUGCGGUACUCGCCCCCUCCCCUUCGUUGCAUCGAUCCUCUUCUUUCACUCUUUGAUGGCCGUCACUACUUCGCCGCACACUUGACUGGCAAGACGCUAGCCGUCUGCUGCUUCUCCUCGAUCAGCCGGUGCGCACACCGCAUAGAAAAAGAUCAGUUCUUCGCCCGUGGCUUUUGCACCUCUCCCUCUGUCGGUUUUUCCUUGCUUCUAAGGAACACCGCCGUUAUCGUCUGGUGCACUUCAAACACCCGUAGACAAACACUCCAGUAGAGACAGACAAUCCCUCGAACAACGACCCCGCGAGUGCCGUUGUCUCUAUACGCCAACAAGCGUGUGUGCUCCCCUUUCUUCCUUGUUUUCUUCCUCUUGCUCCUUGCCUAUCUGGGAGUAUUGAAAGUGUGGCGCCCACUCUUCCCUGUGGUCCUCCCUGCUAUUCUCUCUCGUGCUCUCGAUUUCCAUCACAACUCGAGCAAAAACGACACGACCAG
rnacentral:misc_RNA from 1 species